UACUGACCUUGAAAGAGAAAAAUAGGAGUCAACUUUUAUGGCUCUCAUAUGGUACAGUUUAGGUAUCACAGCAGCAUAAGCAAAAGAAAAAAAAAAACAACAACAUGGCAUUGGAUAGCUUCAGAUUUGCAUCAUACUUUGAAAAAACACUCUAAAGUCUCUAAAUUGACCAAAGGUAUGACCGUGAGUGACAAGGGAAGUUUUGUAUGUUGUCUUGUCUUAAGGAAUAGGCCCGCAGCGUGCCUGUGAUCCAACAGCAUAAACAGUAGGAAAUUGACUUGUGGUGUAUGAGAAACAUGACUUUGUGUGUUGACACGACAACUCACCACAUGGUUUGCAUGGAAACCGGCUUGAAAAUUCUUGUUUCUUCUGCUGAUGUGACGCUGAAACCACUGCGAAGUAGGAGAUGCAAAGCCGAUCGAGUCAAAGAAAGAUACAAAAGCGACAACGGGGGAAGCGAGGAAAGCAAUACGUACUGACAAAUUACAAUAAAUACGCUGGCCCAAG